UUUAUCGUGUUUGAUCUCGACCGUCCGAUCGCGCUUAAGGAAGAAACGAAUUUGAACCGUUCAUCGCGUUUGAUCUCGACUGUUUGAUCGCGCCUAAGAAAAAAACAAAUUCGGACCGUCUACGCAUGCAAGAUUGUUCCUGGGUCGUCCGAUCGCGGGGCACGCGGAUUGCCAACGUGGCCUCCUGCGUGGCACUGAGUCAACCUGUCUUGCCAUGCGGCGCACUGCGAUU
rnacentral:lncRNA from 1 species